GCCUCCGUAGCUCAGCUGGUAGAGCGACAGACUUGUAAUCUGUUGGUCGCGUGUUCAAGUCACGCCGGGGGCU
rnacentral:tRNA from 1 species